CCUACGGGAGGCAGCAGUGAGGAAUAUUGGUCAAUGGCCGGAAGGCUGAACCAGCCAUGCCGCGUGAAGGUCAGUGCCCUAUGGGCGUUAAACUUCUUUUGUGCGGGAGCAAUAAUGGUCACGUGUGGCCAGACGAGAGUACCGUACGAAUAAGCAUCGGCUAACUCCGUGCCAGCAGCCGCGGUAAUACGGGGGAUGCAAGCGUUAUCCGGAUUUAUUGGGUUUAAGGGGUGCGUAGGCUGUGAGGUACGUCAGCGGGGAAAUGCCCCCGCUCAACGGGGUGAAGUGCCAUUGAUACUGCCUUGCUGGAAUGCGGAUGCCGUGGGAGGAAUGUGUGGUGUAGCGGUGAAAUGCAUAGAUAUCACACAGAACACCGAUUGCGAAGGCAUCUCACGAAUCCGCGAUUGACGCUGAUGCACGAAAGCGUGGGUAUCAAACAGGAUUAGAUACCCGAGUAGUC
rnacentral:rRNA from 1 species